rnacentral:ncRNA from 2 species
AUAUUUAACUAGGGGAGUCCAAUGAGUUGGGCUGAGAGGGGAACGCACUGAAGUUCCUUGACCCUUGGGACCUGAUCUGGAUCAUGCCAGCGUAGGGAAGUUAGUUGUGUGCGUA